rnacentral:rRNA from 1 species
UACGUAGGUGGCGAGCGUUGUCCGGAAUUACUGGGUGUAAAGGGCGUGUAGGCGGGAAUGUAAGUCAGAUGUGAAAUCCCGGGGCUUAACCCCGGGUGUGCAUCUGAAACUAUGUUUCUUGAGUGCUGGAGAGGAAAGCGGAAUUCCUAGUGUAGCGGUGAAAUGCGUAGAUAUUAGGAGGAACACCAGUGGCGAAGGCGGCUUUCUGGACAGUAACUGACGCUGAGGCGCGAAAGCGUGGGUAGCGAACAGGAUUAGAUACC